UAAUGGUCUUUUCUGGAAAAUGGCUCCAAAAUAACCCAAAAAUUUUAUUCCAUUUUCUGAUGCAUAUUGAUGACAACACGUGGUUUCCGUAUACUCUUGGGUAUGGUGAAAAAAUAAAAUGGCCUUCAACAAUGAAGUCCGUAACAAUCUUCAGGAACAGAUGGCCCGCUACAUGGAGGGACUCAAGCAGUCAGAGAAACCACCUACAAGCCAGCAAAGACCCAGAAACACCAAGGCACCACUCUCAAUAAAGCACAUUAAUCCAAACACUUCAGCAUCAACCUCAAUGAAGGCU